UCACGAUUACAUUGUCUGUCUAACACCUACUUGUCUACACUCAUUAAAACUCAUGUCUUAUCUUAUUUCUUCAGAGAUGAAGUCUGUCCAUUCUAAGAGCUUGCUAAGUCCAGGUGGCGGAAGCAAGAAGCUGACUGGUCACAUAUUUAACCACAUGGCAGCAGAGACUAAUGACUGCAAGUGAGACAAGGCUAUACCCCUUCAAAGUCCACUUCAGACAGCAAGGCUGCACCUCUUAAAGUCCAUAACCACCCCAAAUGGUGCCACCAACCUGGAUGUGGGUGUCCAGAUAUGUGAACCUAUGGAGGACAUUCCUCAUUCAGACCACCACAAAGGAAAUUCAUGACGUCAGUACCCCCAGUCCCUCUGUUUUCCGUGUUUGAGGGCUCUUCUGACUUGUGGCCACCCAUGGGCUUCUGCUUCGAAGGCUUCACAAUUCUUCAUUGCGUCUUAAAAUGACAAACUCACGGACUGGGGGAGCUGACUCUAAGGAGGAGAGGAAGUUCCGGUGGGCUGGAGGCAUGUACUCUCUCAUUUCCUGGAGGAAUUCUGCAGCAGAUCCUACAGCAAAACAAAGACAGGUAAGGAGCUGGGGAGAAAGGACUUCCUCAGCUAGGAGAGAAAGAGGGCAAGGUCUGGAAGGCUGGGUGAUCUUAGCCAACAUGGGAGGCUUUGCGGCACAAGGCCAUGCUACACAGCUUGCUACUUGCUCCUAGCAAUGGCUAUUCCUUACGACUCUCAUUAGUCCUGGAAGAAUAAGUAACAGUUUCCUAAUACCAUAUUUUGCUUGUUUUGGCUUUGUCAUCUUUCCUUUCCCCCACCCCCACCCCACCCCUCCAUGACUCCCUCUCUCCUUGGUUUUACUGGACAGGAUUUCAGGAUGUAGCACACGAUGGCUUUGAAUUUGUAACACUUCUGCCUGGGAGGAUCCUUAAUCUGCAUUAAGAUAUAGUCCUGUUAGUUGAAAAGAAAAUAGGCAUUGUCAUUUCCACCCACCUUCACCAACGUCAUGCUUUAUUCCCAGAAGGACAUCAAGACUCUGAAAGAUGCUGCUCUGGCCUGCACUGCCCCCUGAAAAUUUUUUGGGGGUGUCCCAGACGCCCUCGUACAGCAGACCCUCCGGCAGCUUAGGGUUGCCCUUCCAACUGGCUCAAAAAGGAAAGAAAAACCAUUUGGGUUAGUCGCCAGGUAGGAAAUCUGACAGAAGAUGUGGUUCCUCCACCCACCCGUCACUCAAGUUCGUGAAUAGAAAUAAUAGCACAGUUCUGAGGGAAUUUUGACAUUCUUUCUGAGGGGAGCCUUGCUUCACCUUAAUUCAGAUUCAGAAAGAGAAGGUGACUUUCUCUACAAUGUGGAUGCGAGCAACACAAACCAGUCUUUCAACCCAAAGGAUACCGGAGGCCAGCAACUGGGAUCUGGUCUGCUCUUUCUAUGAGUUGAGAAAAUAAAGUCAAGCCUCAGAAUACAUACCCGGACAAAUAUAUGCGAAGAACGUGGAAAAAGGUGUCUGGAUCCACGAAGUCUGUGGAAAGACGAAAGUGUGUGCUAAGUAGUAUCAGGGGUAUUGCAAACAACUGUGUGGAUUUCAAUACAGACUCCAGUAAAGGCAUCAGGCAGACCCACAAGGUCCCUAUGGACAGGAUACCUACUCAUUAGCUCUCCCAUACCUCCAUAUUGGGUCUGCCAAGGGACCAAGUGACAUCACAAUACUGUCAUUCAAAUGAAACUGUCAGCGCCGAACAGCAUCACUCCAUGUGCUUACUGACAAGGCACAUGCAACUCUUGCAGCAACAAAACCAGGACUGGACGUGUACCUCAGUGAUCGUGUCCUUUCUUAGCAUCUCUGAGCUCUGGUCUCCAUCACCCACAGCACGAAUAAACACUCGUGGGCACGCACGCACACACGCACCCACCCAGAAGCCGCAUGGGAUCCACUCAUGGGUCUUCCUAAAGCUUACUAACAUCAGAUUGGAAGAGUUUGCUCCCACAAUAGGCAACCAGAGGCAGCUUCAAACUCACAAACAAAAUCCCACUUAUUAAAUUGAGGCAGGAAGGCAGAUUUCCUUCCCAAAUCACUCUUACGCACGUCCUGGGUUUGGUAGAGUUUCUACAUCGGUUUUGAAACAAUUCGUUUCUCUGUUACCCCCAGAGUGGAUUUGUGGAGAAUCAGAGUUUAGUCAGACCAGAAUCUAGGUUUUUCAACACUUGAAAUCAUAUCUGUAUUCCUCAGGUUUCCGCAGGGGUUUUAGUGUCAGGCAAGAAACGUUCUCAGCAUUAAAAAGACUCCGUCUGGAAUUCUUGGUUCCUUUUUCACUACCGGUGGCAUAUAAC